rnacentral:rRNA from 1 species
GAUGAACGCUGGCGGCGUGCCUAAUACAUGCAAGUCGAGCGAACAGAUGAGGAGCUUGCUCCUCUGACGUUAGCGGCGGACGGGCGAGUAACACGUGUAUAACCUACCUAUAAGACUGGGAUAACUUCGGGAAACCGGAGCUAAUACCGGAUAAUAUAUUGAACCGCAUGGUUCAAUAGUGAAAUACGGUUUUGCUGUCACUUAUAGAGGGAUCCGAGCCGCAUUAGCUAGUUGGUGAUGUAACGGCUUAUCAAGGCAACGAUGCGUAGCCGACCUGAGGGGGUGAUCGGCCACACUGGAACUGAGACACGGUCCAGACUCCUACGGAAGGCAGCAGUAGGGAAUCUUCCGCAAUGGGCGAAAGCCUGACGGAGCAACGCCGCGUGAGUGAUGAAGGUCUUCGGAUCGUAAAACUCUGUUAUUAGGGAAGAACAAAUGUGUAAGUAACUAUGCACGUCUUGACGGUACCUAAUCAGAAAGCCACGGCUAACUACGUG